rnacentral:rRNA from 1 species
GACGAACGCUGGCGGCGUGCUUAACACAUGCAAGUCGAACGCUGAAGCCUGGUCUUUGACUGGGUGGAGGAGUGGCGAACGGGUGAGUAACACGUGGGUAACCUGUCCCGUACUGUGGGAUAAGCCCUGGAAACGGGGUCUAAUACCGCAUAGGACACUUCAUCGCAUGGUGGGGUGUGGAAAGGUUUUUCCGGUAUGGGGUGGGCCCGCGGCCUAUCAGCUUGUUGGGGGGGGGAAGGGCUAACAAAGGGGGGAAGGGGAAGCGGGCUGAAAAGGGGAACGGGCAAAAUGGGAAUGAAAAAAGGGCCAAAAUUCUAAGGGAAGGAAGAAGGGGGAAAAAUGGAAAAAGGGGGGAAAGCUGAAGGAAGGAAGGCGGGGGAAGGAAGAAGGGCUUUGGGGUGGAAAACUUUUUUGAACCCGAAGAAAGGAAAAGUGACGGUAGGGGUAGAAGAAGCACCGGCUGACUACGUGCCAGCAGCCGCGGUAAUACGUAGGGUGCGAGCGUUGUCCGGAAUUAUUGGGCGUAAAGAGCUCGUAGGCGGUUUGUCGCGUCUGCCGUGAAAACCGGGGGCUUAACCCUCGGCCUGCGGUGGAUACGGGCAGACUUGAGUUCGGUAGGGGAGACUGGAAUUCCUGGUGUAGCGGUGAAAUGCGCAGAUAUCAGGAGGAACACCGGUGGCGAAGGCGGGUCUCUGGGCCGAUACUGACGCUGAGGAGCGAAAGCGUGGGGAGCGAACAGGAUUAGAUACCCUGGUAGUCCACGCCGUAAACGUUGGGCGCUAGGUGUGGGUGACAUUCCACGUUGUCCGUGCCGUAGCUAACGCAUUAAGCGCCCCGCCUGGGGAGUACGGCCGCAAGGCUAA